CAACCCUCAAGCCCCCGGGCUUGGUGUUGGAGAUCGGCACAAGCGCCCUCCGGGGCGCCGCCGUCUCCCAAAUCUAGUGGCGGUCUCGCUGUAGCCUCCUCUGCGUAGUAAUACACCUCGCACUGGAACGCGGCGCGGCCAAGCCGUUAAACCCCCCACUUCUGAA
rnacentral:misc_RNA from 1 species